rnacentral:lncRNA from 1 species
AAUAACCAUCCAAUUUGACCCAUGCUCCCUUUAAUCUCAGCCGUCUAAAAUCCUGAAUCCCACGGCCCAAUUUAAUUCCCUUUACCCACAUUAUACCCAACUUUAAUUCCCCAAUCCCUAGCUCAAACCAUCCGCCUCCCUCACCAUCUCUCACCCCACAGCUCUGCCCGCGAACUCAACCCCAAACCAGCCGUAAAUCACCCAAAAUCCCGCCCCACGUGAGCACUGGUCCCCCCUCUCUUCUCUCCUUCUUCCACGUCAUUCUUCAAAUCUCAUCAUUCCUAUCCGAUUUUCACGGAUUUAUUCUUUUAUUUCUUAUGUUUAAGCAUAAAAUCUGAGUCCUUGAAAUAAAGGUUGGAAAAUGGGAGUCAUUGGGAUUAAUUUUUGAUCCAAGACUUCCAUUUCUUGAUUUUUGUUAAAAUACGGAUUUUCGGAUUUGUUUGGGGGUCCACGCGGAUUCGAUUCUUGGAAAGGAAGCAAGAAGAAGCUUCUAGGAUCCCUAUAUAUUUGGGAUUUUCGGAUAGAGAAAAAUGAGAGAGAGGAGAAAAGCUAAGGUUUUCAGAUUUCUUGGUUGGUUCUUCUAAUUUCAAUAGAGUUCUAGUGUUCUUUGAUUCUGUUUUGCUUCAUUUUUCACAUAUAUAAAAAAGCAAAAAUUAGUUUCGUCUCAUUCGGAUUUUAAAGUCAGAAAUACAAAGGUAAAAUUUCGUUUCAUCUCUUGCAUGGCCGAAUAGAGUUUGGAUUUGGAGUUGCCGUUCGAAAUCGAGCCCGUGGUUCCUGUUCGCUCUAGUUGCUGUGUUUCUUGUUCGGAUUUUGUGAUUCGGAGCAUUGUAGCCGACUCCUUUGAUUCUCUGCUAUUAAGAAGAAACUUACACUUUUAGGUUCUUUUCUUCCCCUACUCUUAUGUGUAUUAUGAAUCAAAGCCACAGAGGGAGCCAUCUUAAAAUAGGCUAGUCAUUACUAGGUUGAGAUUUAACUGAUUUGUCUUUCUGUUGUUGACAAUGUCGAAAUAUGGUAAACUCUAAUAGAGUUGGAAAGGUUAAUUCAAUCUCGCCGAGGUAGACUCGUUGUUGAACUUGAUUCCGUGGUUUGAGUUCUCUUCAUGUCUUGGUUUUUGUGUUAAUUUUCUGCUUCAUGAGAAGUGAAAAGUUAUUAUGAAGUUAUAUAUAGAGUUGACGUUUAAGGCUAAUAUGAUUCCGAGUCGAUCUUGAGGAUGGAACAUAAUUCAACACUUCAUGUUUUUGAGAAACGAGAGUUUCAGCACUGUUGACUUGUUCUUCUUCUACUGAUUUAAAUAUAUAACAAUUCGUGAAGUUCUUUCGAUUUGCUUAGACUGCCAAAUGAAAGGCAAAUUACCUGAUUGUUUAAGGACCUAUAUGCCACUGUUUGUAUGUUUUUGUUUAUCAAUUUUUGGGAACAUAGUUUAGCACUAUUAGUCAUGUUAUCUAGAAUAUCAUUCGUACUUUAAAAUUGUCACUUCGGUUGGUCUAAGAGUUAUUCCGGUUGUGCCCGACUAAAGAAUUGCUACAGUCUCCUUUGAAUCCCAAACGCCGAAGUAAUAUUCUGAUGGUCGAGUUUGAUUAAGCGUAUGAUCUUCCAUGUUAAAGUUUUCAGUUGGUAAAAUGGUCAUGUAUGGGGAAUCUGUAAACCUUUUGAAGUCUUAAAUGUUCAUCGGUCUAAAGUUAAUAGGGGUCUUGCUCCAUUCGAUCAUGUCUGGGUGCUAAUUAACUAAUAGGCGAUUAUAUGUUGUUGAAUGUUUAAACUUUAAACAUGGCAUCGAAGGAUAAUGCACAUGAGUUUGGCUUUAAAAGACAUGAUUUGUAGGCUUCAGGAUAUGGUCAAUUAAAAGGCUAGGAAAAGCAACGUAAGUAAAAAUCUUUGAAUGGCUCCCUGAAUGACUUUGACUUUGUCUAUGUUGGAUGACCAUUGUCAUUUAUUCCAUGCUUUGGGUGUCGGGCUUGGCCUAAUAAAAUGAAAAGUUACAAAAAUACAUGAGCAUGAAUUGAAUUGUUUCUUUUACUUUUCUUAUUUAGUUUUUUUAUGACAUUGUCCGUUAGGAGCAUGCUCUAGGCCGACAACACUUGGGUAGGAAAUCUUUAGAUGUUUUUAUUUGCUUUGGUUUUGGGGAGAGAGGUCGCCCCUUAAAUAAAUUUGUCCGGGGAAUGCCCCAUGGACUUUGUAAAUAUUUUAACUCGGGGCCCGAAGUACUUUGUAAAUAUUUUGGAGGCCAAAGAUGGAACUAUUCGAGGAAGCAUGGAAUAGUAUUUUAUUUUUGUUUUGUUAGGUGGAGACGACCUCGAGCCUCUUUUGACUGUUUAUUUUCUUUUUGUGUGCUUUUACCUCAAUUUGAAUAUCUUAA